rnacentral:tRNA from 1 species
GGUUGUGGCUCGGGGGUAGAGUAGUUGCCUGGCAUGUGUGAGGCCCUGGGUUCAAUCCUCAGCACCG